rnacentral:sRNA from 1 species
GUGUGACACUCGUAUUUGAAUGUUGAGCUAAAGGGGAGGCUUGUAAGCCUGGCCUUGUUUUUAUUAACUGGCAUGCGGGUGUAAGACAAGAUGACCUCAUUCACAAACGUCAAGCUCGUAAAGCUACAAACGGCCUUAAUCUUGACGUCAUAAUAUUUGGCCUGGACUCUGUCUCGCGGUUAGCUUGGCUUCGACAUCUCCCGCUGACCAGAGAUUAUUUUGUAAAAGUUUUAAAUGGAAUAGAAAUGGAGGGUUACAAUAUUCUUGGUGACGGUACGCCCGCAGCCCUGACACCACUUCUAACAGGCUACAGAGAGGAUGAACUGCCUGAAGCAAGGAGAGGCUACCCUGGCGCCAAGCCUGUUGACGACUUCCCUUGGAUUUGGAAAGACUUCAAAGAGGCUGGUUACGUCACGGCCUGGGGGGAAGAUACAGCUCACCUUGGGACAUUUCAGUUUAGAUUAUU